ACAUUAACCAAAAAAAGAGGGACUAGAACCUGUCUUUUGACUUAAGUCCCAGAACUCUUAGGAAACUAGAAAAUGAGAAUUCAUUCACUGAGGAAAGACCACAAUUCAGAUGGCUGAGCAAUUCACUGGACUUAUUGACUCUGAUAGUUUCUCACUUUUUCUUGGCCUAAAUACAUUCUGUGCUCUUAAAAAACAGGAUCCCUAGAGAAAGAAGAGGUUAUAGGGACAAAUGGAGACUAACUCUGAGCUAUUCAAGUUCAGUGCCUGUACUGUGUUGAAUAUACAGUUCGAAAGGUAAUUGGGAGAAGGACACCACAUCGCCCUGUAGCUCUGCAAGCCCAGCACAAGUCUAAUGAGUGAUCAGAGGCUUAAGCCCAGAUUGCUUAAGAAUGCCUGUAGGGGCAUAGUCACCAAAGUUCGACUCUCCGACAGAACAGCUUGCUGCGGCUCUAAUGUGAAAACACUCCAGUUAUAACAAGGGAUUGUUCCAUUUGUUGAAAAAUGUGCUCCGAAUGGCAAAAGAUGACACUCUCUGGAGGUCCUUAAGAUCCAUGAAGGUGCCACUUUGUAGUUUUGUACCAAUAUGAAAUGCUACCUAAAGUAAAUACCAGUAAUAAUAAUGGUGAUGAUGAUGAUGAUCAGAAGACAACAAGGAUUUUAUUCCGGUACCUCACUAAGGACCAUUUAAUAAGGUUUGUGUAAGAAAUGACACAAUAGUGUCUGAAAGAGUAAGUGAAUGCCAAGCUUAAGAGUUUAAUCUCCUCUUCCCUAGAGGAUAGAGUGGGAUGGGGA